rnacentral:rRNA from 1 species
AAGUCGAGGGUAACAGAGGUAGCUUGCUACUUGCUGACGACCGGCGCACGGGUGAGUAACGCGUAUAGAAUCUACUUAUACUGGAGAAUAACCAGGAGAAAUUCUGACUAAUGCUCCAUAGUAUGUAUGAAUCUCAUGAUUUAUACAUUAAAGAUUUAUCGGUAUAAGAUGACUAUGCGUUCUAUUAGCUAGAUGGUGUGGUAACGGCACACCAUGGCAACGAUAGAUAGGGGCCCUGAGAGGGGGAUCCCCCCACACUGGUACUGAGACACGGACCAGACUCCUACGGGAGGCAGCAGUGAGGAAUAUUGGACAAUGGAGGCAACUCUGAUCCAGCCAUGCCGCGUGCAGGAAGACUGCCCUAUGGGUUGUAAACUGCUUUUAUACGGGAAGAAACACCACUACGUGUAGUGGCUUGACGGUACCGUAAGAAUAAGGAUCGGCUAACUCCGUGCCAGCAGCCGCGGUAAUACGGAGGAUCCAAGCGUUAUCCGGAAUCAUUGGGUUUAAAGGGUCCGUAGGUGGAUAAUUAAGUCAGAGGUGAAAGUUUGCAGCUCAACUGUAAAAUUGCCUUUGAUACUGGUUAUCUUGAAUUAUUAUGAAGUAGUUAGAAUAUGUAGUGUAGCGGUGAAAUGCAUAGAUAUUACAUAGAAUACCAAUUGCGAAGGCAGGUUACUAAUAAUAUAUUGACACUGAUGGACGAAAGCGUGGGGAGCGAACAGGAUUAGAUACCCUGGUAGUCCACGCCGUAAACGAUGGAUACUAGCUGUUCGGACUUCGGUCUGAGUGGCUAAGCGAAAGUGAUAAGUAUCCCACCUGGGGAGUACGUUCGCAAGAAUGAAACUCAAAGGAAUUGACGGG